AACGAACGCUGGCGGCAUGCCUAACACAUGCCAGUCGAACGAGACCUUCGGGUCUAGUGGCGCACGGGUGCGUAACGCGUGGGAACCUGCCCUUAGGUUCGGAAUAACUCCCCGAAAGGGGUGCUAAUACCGGAUAAUGUCUUCGGACCAAAGAUUUAUCGCCUUUGGAUGGGCCCGCGUUGGAUUAGCUAGUUGGUAGGGUAAAAGCCUACCAAGGCGACGAUCCAUAGCUGGUCUGAGAGGAUGAUCAGCCACACUGGGACUGAGACACGGCCCAGACUCCUACGGGAGGCAGCAGUGGGGAAUAUUGGACAAUGGGCGAGAGCCUGAUCCAGCAAUGCCGCGUGAGUGAUGAAGGCCUUAGGGUUGUAAAGCUCUUUUACCCGGGAUGAUAAUGACAGUACCGGGAGAAUAAGCUCCAGCUAACUCCGUG
rnacentral:rRNA from 1 species